rnacentral:lncRNA from 1 species
ACAGAGGUGCACCACCACAUCCAGCUAAUUUUUGUAUUUUUAGUGGAGACGGGGUUUCACCAUGUUGGCCAGGAUGGUCUCGAUUUCCUGACCUCAUGAUCCACCCGCCUUGGCCUCCCAAAGUGCUGGGAUUACAGGCGUGAGCCACCGUGCCCGGCCAAUUUCCUUAAUUUUCACAUAAUGAAAACAUAUGUUCUUUGGAGGCCACUAAUCAAAAACCACUGUAAAUGAGGUCUACUCAACUCUGAAAGCAAUACUAACAAAUAGAAGAUGUGUACUCGGUUUACAUCAUGGAAAUAAAGAUUUGUUUCACUAGUUUUGCUGCUGGAAGAGGAGAGAAGAUUCUCAUCGCACUGUCCCCACACUACGUAAUUCUAAGAAAUGGCAGGCAACUUAUACCACGAGGAUCCAGUCAACACUAAAGGGAUAAUGACAGUCUAAAUAUAUCCACUGACCACUUGAAAAAAAUAUGUUAAGUGGUGAAAUGAGCUUAAAGGUGAAAGAGUUCAAGAAGGUCUAACUAUGCAGUUUCCUGUUGACUGCGGUCAUCUGUUCCCUUUCGGGAAGCUCAAAGACUGACCAAGCUGGAAGAGGCAGCAUGCUUUCCCAAUAAGGGUGCUACAUUUCUGUGCACCAAUAGUCAGAAUCACAUAUUUAGUAGCAGGCAAGCAGCAGCAGGUGAAUGACAGAUAAGUUACUCUACCUAAUUAGAUUGAAAUACCAG